CCUACGGGAGGCAGCAGUGAGGAAUAUUGGUCAAUGGGCUUACGCCUGAACCAGCCAAGUCGCGUGAGGGAAGACUGCCCUAUGGGUUGUAAACCUCUUUUGUCAGGGAGCAAUUGGCGCUACGUGUAGCGUUAUCGAGAGUACCUGAAGAAAAAGCAUCGGCUAACUCCGUGCCAGCAGCCGCGGUAAUACGGAGGAUGCGAGCGUUGUUCGGAAUCACUGGGCUUAAAGCGUGCGUAGUCUGUUUCGUAAGUCGUGUGUGAAAGUCGCGGGCUCAACCCGCGGAGGGCACAUGAUACUGCGAGACUAGAGUAAUGGAGGGGGAACCGGAAUUCGCGGUGUAGCAGUGAAAUGCUUAGAUAUCGAGAGGAACACUCGUGGCGAAGGCGGGUUACUGGACAUUAACUGACGCUGAGGCACGAAGGCCAGGGGAGCGAAAGGGAUUAGAUACCCGGGUAGUC
rnacentral:rRNA from 1 species